UGCCAGCCGCCGCGGUAAUACGGAGGGGGCUAGCGUUGUUCGGAAUCACUGGGCGUAAAGCGCACGUAGGCGGAUUGGUCAGUUGGGGGUGAAAUCCCGAGGCUCAACCUCGGAACUGCCCUCAAUACUGCCAAUCUUGAGUUCGAGAGAGGUGAGUGGAAUUCCUAGUGUAGAGGUGAAAUUCGUAGAUAUUAGGAAGAACACCAGUGGCGAAGGCGGCUCACUGGCUCGAAUUGACACUGAGGUACGAAAGCGUGGGGAGCGAACAGGAUUAGAUA
rnacentral:rRNA from 1 species